rnacentral:rRNA from 1 species
GAGAUCGGGAUAACACCUGGAAACAGAUGCUAAUACCGGAUAACAAUAGAUGAUGCCUAUCAACUGUUUAAAAGAUGGUUCUGCUAUCACUCUUGGAUGGACCUGCGGUGCAUUAGCUAGUUGGUAGGGUAACGGCCUACCAAGGCGAUGAUGCAUAGCCGAGUUGAGAGACUGAUCGGCCACAUUGGGACUGAGACACGGCCCAAACUCCUACGGGAGGCAGCAGCA